rnacentral:rRNA from 1 species
GACGAACGCUGGCGGCGUGCUUAACACAUGCAAGUCGAACGGAAGGGCCCUGCUUUUGUGGGGUGCUCGAGUGGCGAACGGGUGAGUAACACGUGAGUAACCUGCCCUUGACUUUGGGAUAACUUCAGGAAACUGGGGCUAAUACCGGAUAGGAGCUCCUGCUGCAUGGUGGGGGUUGGAAAGUUUCGGCGGUUGGGGAUGGACUCGCGGCUUAUCAGCUUGUUGGUGGGGUAGUGGCUUACCAAGGCUUUGACGGGUAGCCGGCCUGAGAGGGUGACCGGCCACAUUGGGACUGAGAUACGGCCCAGACUCCUACGGGAGGCAUCAGUGGGGAAUAUUGCACAAUGGGCGGAAGCCUGAUGCAGCAACGCCGCGUGCGGGAUGACGGCCUUCGGGUUGUAAACCGCUUUCGCCUGUGACGAAGCGUGAGUGACGGUAAUGGGUAAAGAAGCACCGGCUAACUACGUG